AACGCUAGCUACAGGCUUAACACAUGCAAGUCGAGGGGCAGCAUGGUCUUAGCUUGCUAAGGCCGAUGGCGACCGGCGCACGGGUGAGUAACACGUAUCCAACCUACCGUCUACUCUUGGACAGCCUUCUGAAAGGAAGAUUAAUACAAGAUGGCAUCAUGAGUCCGCAUGUUCACAUGAUUAAAGGUAUUCCGGUAGACGAUGGGGAUGCGUUCCAUUAGAUAGUAGGCGGGGUAACGGCCCACCUAGUCUUCGAUGGAUAGGGGUUCUGAGAGGAAGGUCCCCCACAUUGGAACUGAGACACGGUCCAAACUCCUACGGGAGGCAGCAGUGAGGAAUAUUGGUCAAUGGGCGAGAGCCUGAACCAGCCAAGUAGCGUGAAGGAUGACUGCCCUAUGGGUUGUAAACUUCUUUUAUAAAGGAAUAAAGUCGGGUAUGGAUACCCGUUUGCAUGUACUUUAUGAAUAAGGAUCGGCUAACUCCGUGCCAGCAGCCGCGGUAAUACGGAGGAUCCGAGCGUUAUCCGGAUUUAUUGGGUUUAAAGGGAGCGUAGAUGGAUGUUUAAGUCAGUUGUGAAAGUUUGCGGCUCAACCGUAAAAUUGCAGUUGAUACUGGAUAUCUUGAGUGCAGUUGAGGCAGGCGGAAUUCGUGGUGUAGCGGUGAAAUGCUUAGAUAUCACGAAGAACUCCGAUUGCGAAGGCAGCCUGCUAAGCUGCAACUGACAUUGAGGCUCGAAAGUGUGGGUAUCAAACAGGAUUAGAUACCCUGGUAGUCCACACGGUAAACGAUGAAUACUCGCUGUUUGCGAUAUACGGCAAGCGGCCAAGCGAAAGCGUUAAGUAUUCCACCUGGGGAGUACGCCGGCAACGGUGAAACUCAAAGGAAUUGACGGGGGCCCGCACAAGCGGAGGAACAUGUGGUUUAAUUCGAUGAUACGCGAGGAACCUUACCCGGGCUUAAAUUGCAGAUGAAUUACGGUGAAAGCCGUAAGCCGCAAGGCAUCUGUGAAGGUGCUGCAUGGUUGUCGUCAGCUCGUGCCGUGAGGUGUCGGCUUAAGUGCCAUAACGAGCGCAACCCUUGUUGUCAGUUACUAACAGGUUCCGCUGAGGACUCUGACAAGACUGCCAUCGUAAGAUGUGAGGAAGGUGGGGAUGACGUCAAAUCAGCACGGCCCUUACGUCCGGGGCUACACACGUGUUACAAUGGGGGGUACAGAGGGCCGCUACCACGCGAGUGGAUGCCAAUCCCCAAAACCUCUCUCAGUUCGGACUGGAGUCUGCAACCCGACUCCACGAAGCUGGAUUCGCUAGUAAUCGCGCAUCAGCCACGGCGCGGUGAAUACGUUCCCGGGCCUUGUACACACCGCCCGUCAAGCCAUGGGAGCCGGGGGUACCUGAAGUGCGUAACCGCGAGGAGCGCCCUAGGGUAAAACUGGUGACUGGGGCU
rnacentral:rRNA from 1 species